UACGGAGGGUGCAAGCGUUAUCCGGAUUCACUGGGUUUAAAGGGUGCGUAGGUGGGUUGGUAAGUCAGUGGUGAAAUCCCCGAGCUUAACUUGGGAACUGCCAUUGAUACUAUCAGUCUUGAAUACUGUGGAGGUUAGCGGAAUAUGUCAUGUAGCGGUGAAAUGCUUAGAUAUGACAUAGAACACCAAUUGCGAAGGCAGCUUACUACACGAUCAUUGACGCUGAGGCACGAAAGCGUGGGGAGCAAACAGG
rnacentral:rRNA from 1 species